CAACAGGACAAAAUCAGGAAGGAGGGGUACUAUUUGGUAAUAUUUUUGUAGAGUUUGACGCCUCCUGUGGGCAAACAUGAUUCAGUUUGAAAACUCCUUGUAGGAGCAUUCAAGUAUUCUUAAAAUAGCUAUGUUGUUACUUAUACUAAUCAAAUUCAGCAAUUCAACCUGGUUAAACUCUCUACCUUUUAUCGAUUUAGUUACUUCGAUUAAUUGCUAUGUGGACUCAUCAGUUUCUACAUCAAAACUUUUUUUGGUUUUUCAUAUACAUUAUGAAAACUGUAGUAUUUUAAUUUGGUCUGUUUUCUUUCAGUGUCCUUUUUCAUUUGUUUGAAAGGUGUAAUAUCGACAAAACAGUAUACAAAGAUAAAUAGGUACUUAAGAGGUUUUUUUAGGACAGUUCUUGAAGUAUUUCAUGAUCUUUACAAAUUCCUGCUGGUUUGUGCUGACGUUCAUUGCCUCUCUGCACCUGGAAAUGUGAAAAAAAAAAAGUUACAGCUGCAAUCAAACACUUGGAUGGCACAGUGUUAAUUAGAGCUUACAGGGGUGUGUCUCACCCUGAUUUACAUCCCCAUUAGUUUUGGAGUAGCUGUGAAUGUGUGGGUGUGUGUGAACGGUUGGCUAUCACUUUCAGAGUCGUCACUGUCUUCUGAAUCUUACAAAGGUAGAUAUUGCAGACAAUAAAUGCUUGUAUGGAUUGAUCAGUGAAACAGACUACAUUUCUUUCUUUAUUCUACCCCCUGUGCAGGUGAAGUUUUCAGAGCUGACCUGUACGUGAGCUUUGGUGUGGUCUCUCUCUUUAAUCCUCUUCACUCUCCACCAUCAACAACAUCUUCAGGACAGGAACAUAAGAGCGUCUUGGACAUUUAUCAACUGAUGUAGACCCAGUCUUGACUCAGUUGAACUUUCAG